GGGAAUUAGCUCAAUUGGGAGAGCACCUGCUUUGCAAGCAGGGGGUCAGGGGUUCGAAUCCCCUAUUCUCC
rnacentral:tRNA from 1 species